AGAGUUUGAUCCUGGCUCAGGACGAACGCUGGCGGCGUGCUUAACACAUGCAAGUCGAGCGGUAAGGCCUUUCGGGGUACACGAGCGGCGAACGGGUGAGUAACACGUGGGUGAUCUGCCCUGCACUCUGGGAUAAGCUUGGGAAACUGGGUCUAAUACCGGAUAUGACCGCAUGCCGCAUGGUGUGUGGUGGAAAGAUUUAUCGGUGCAGGAUGGGCCCGCGGCCUAUCAGCUUGUUGGUGGGGUAAUGGCCUACCAAGGCGACGACGGGUAGCCGACCUGAGAGGGUGACCGGCCACACUGGGACUGAGACACGGCCCAGACUCCUACGGGAGGCAGCAGUGGGGAAUAUUGCACAAUGGGCGGAAGCCUGAUGCAGCGACGCCGCGUGAGGGAUGAAGGCCUUCGGGUUGUAAACCUCUUUCAGCAGGGACGAAGCGUGAGUGACGGUACCUGCAGAAGAAGCACCGGCUAACUACGUGCCAGCAGCCGCGGUAAUACGUAGGGUGCGAGCGUUGUCCGGAAUUACUGGGCGUAAAGAGUUCGUAGGCGGUUUGUUGCGUCUGCUGUGAAAACGCGGGGCUUAACUUCGCGCGUGCAGUGGGUACGGGCAGGCUAGAGUGCGGUAGGGGAGAUUGGAAUUCCUGGUGUAGCGGUGGAAUGCGCAGAUAUCAGGAGGAACACCGAUGGCGAAGGCAGGUCUCUGGGAAACAACUGACGCUGAGGAACGAAAGCGUGGGUAGCAAACAGGAUUAGAUACCCUGGUAGUCCACGCCGUAAACGGUGGGCGCUAGGUGUGGGUUCCUUCCACGGGAUCUGUGCCGUAGCUAACGCAUUAAGCGCCCCGCCUGGGGAGUACGGCCGCAAGGCUAAAACUCAAAGGAAUUGACGG
rnacentral:rRNA from 1 species